GUACAUGAAAAAGGGAUCACCCAUUGGACUUUAGAGUAAUUAGAAAUUGAACUUACCAUAUCGAGAUCACUGAUUUCACUGAUGCUUCGUAUUAGUAUGUUGACAUUAACAUAACAAGGUCCAUCUUGUCCAAAAAUCGAGAUGAUAAGAUAAAAAAGAAUCACAUCUUCAAUUUGAUUGUAAUAAACAGAUGAUGGAAAUGGGUUUUCUCAAAUUAGACAUCAUAAUCGCCUGAAAAUAACAGCCAUUAUCAACAUGCUCAUCCUGUAAUAAUGCAAAUUUGAUUGAUUCAUUCCAUUAUCAUCAACUGUAAUGAUCAAUUCUCAAUACACUUUCAUUAUCUUGUUAAA